GAUGAACGCUGGCGGCGUGCUUAACACAUGCAAGUCGAACGAAGCACUUGUGACGGAACUCUUCGGAGGGAAGAUGCAUUUGACUGAGUGGCGGACGGGUGAGUAACGCGUGGGUAACCUGCCUCAUACAGGGGAAUAACAGUUGGAAACGACUGCUAAUGCCGCAUAAGCGCACAGUACCGCAUGGUACAAUGAUCAAAGAUUUAUCGCUUGAAGAUGGACUCGCGUCUGAUUAGCUAGUUGGUGGGGUAACGGCCUACCAAGGCGACGAUCAGUAGCCGGACUGAGAGGUUGAACGGCCACAUUGGGACUGAGAUACGGCCCAGACUCCUACGGGAGGCAGCAGUGGGGAAUAUUGGGCAAUGGGGGAAACCCUGACCCAGCAACGCCGCGUGAAGGAAGAAGGCCUCGGGUUGUAAACUUCUUUUACCAGGGACGAAGAACGUGACGGUACCUGGAGAAAAAGCAACGGCUAACUACGUG
rnacentral:rRNA from 1 species